GGGUUCCCUCUUUCCCAUCUCUGUUGCCGCCAGGUGAGCCUAGCCUCUAGAUCCAACAACUCCUCUCGGACCAGAGAGAGUUCCUGUGAGACCAUCGUCAUCGGCGAGCCUUCCGACACCCCAAGGAGAAGUUGGUCAUCCAGGAGCUAUACCUGGUCAUGGUGCUUCCGCUACGUGCUCUAGUUCCCGAGGGAUGUCAAAGCUAGGGAGAAUUCGACAAUAUUCUUCAUCGGUAGAAGCUUGUCGCCAGUAGCAAUUCAUCGCAGAGAAUCAUCCUCGAGCCGUACACCUACGACGAGCCCCUCCUCGCGAGCAUUGGCGUGACCCCAGUGAGUUUUCCCCUUUGAUUAUGCCUUGUGCUGCCAUCGCUAGUGAGACCCGAGCGCGUCGCCGUCAAACAUCAUUGUCGGUGAGUGUUUCAACGCCGUCGAUUGUGAUUAUUAGCGCAUAGAGAGUUCACAUCGGCGUGUGGGUCCAUUUUCAUCUUCAGGUAGCCGAUUAUGCUGCUGGAGCUAGCUAACCAAGCUCACCGUCGCCGCCACUGUUUUCUGUCGUCCGUGUUAAUCUAUUGCACGAUAGUUUUCCAGGUAUGCGUGUAUGUGGUAGGUAGUUGCGGAGUGCCUCGUUCCUUCCACCGCGUCUUUGGGUCACCCCAACAUCACCGUUAUGGAUGUGUGCCUCUGCCUUCUUCGUCGAUGAACGCUCGUGCAGUGUGUGCAUGUGUGUGACUGAUUUGUGGGCCCAACCGAGUAUAGAGUAGAGUCAAUUGACUCGAGGCGACCUUCUGGUCAAGCUAGAACCACUAGCUUGACUGGCUUGCCGCAAGAGCUUGCAACCGAGAGGUCUCGGGUUCGACCACUCCCCCCAAGCCCAUUUUAUUUCCUAUGACUGUUGAUUUGCUCUAAGGGUGACAGGAGGGCCUAGUCCCACCUGUCAUACCCACUGGGUCCCUGGUGUCACCGCUAGUGGGACCCCCUGUGUGAUUUUAUUUUUUUAUUGUUUUUGUUUUUGUUUUAGUCCCUC
rnacentral:lncRNA from 1 species